AUGCCUCCAGGCGCAAGAGAAAAGCGGCAUGAUUGUUUUUCCAAUGCAAGUAUUGCAUAUAGAGUUCUGUUGACCAUUCCUGUGACAGUUGCAUCGGUGGAAAGAAGUUUUUCUAAAUUGAAGCUAUUGAAGUUCUAUAUGCGUACUAUUAUGACACAGCAAAGACUCAAUGAUUUGGCCACAAUAGCACAUGAGAGUGAAGUGUUGGAGAAGAUUGAUUACGAGGAUAUCAUUGAAGAUUUCAUUUCAAAGAAUACUAAAAGAAUGAGGAUGUUCAAAUAA
rnacentral:rRNA from 1 species